GAAAAAAGAAGUUAAGAUGGGUGCUAAUAAAAUGCAGCGCUAUAUAGCGUUUAAUGAGAUAGUGAAGAUAUCAUUGCACCAUGAAACUGACAGGAAUGUUUUAAUUUACUCACAGGUGGAAGUAGAUGUACCAGUAAGAGAUGUUCAGCGGUUUACAGGUCGCAAAUAAAAUGUAAAAUUCUACAAUGGCAGAAACAAGAAAUACAAACUAAUAGGAGCCAUCUACACCAUGUUUUUUUCUGACAAGAGAUGAAAAAUGCAGUGAUU